GUUUGACACUAUUUAUAGUGAGGUUUGACACUAUUUAUAGUGAGGUUUGACACUAUUUAUAGUGAGGUUUGACACUAUUUAUAGUGAGGUUUGACACUAUUUAUAGUGAGGUUCGACACUAUUUAUAGUGAGGUUCGACACUAUUUAUAGUGAGGUUUGACACUAUUUAUAGUGAGGUUUGACACUAUUUAUAGUGAGGUUUGACACUAUUUAUAGUGAGGUUUGACACUAUUUAUUGUGAGG